GACGAACGCUGGCGGCGUGCUUAACACAUGCAAGUCGAACGGAAAGGCCCCUUUGGGGGUACUCGAGUGCCGAACGGGUGAGUAACACGUGAGUAACCUGCCCUUGACUUCGGGAUAACUUCAGGAAACUGGGGCUAAUACCGGCUAGGAAUCCUUGCUGCAUGGUGGGGGUUGGAAAGCUUCGGCGGUUUUGGAUGGACUCGCGGCUUAUCAGCUUGUUGGUGGGGUAGUGGCUUACCAAGGCUUUGACGGGUAGCCGGCCUGAGAGGGCGACCGGCCACAUUGGGACUGAGAGACGGCCCAGACUCCUACGGGAGGCAGCAGUGGGGAAUAUUGCACAAUGGGCGGAAGCCUGAUGCAGCAACGCCGCGUGCGGGAUGACGGCCUUCGGGUUGUAAACCGCUUUCAGCAGGGGCGAAGCUUGUGGUGACGGUACCUGCAGAAGAAGCACCGGCUAACUACGUG
rnacentral:rRNA from 1 species